UUUUGUUUCUCUGUCUUUUUUCAAAUUAUGCAGAACUCUCCUACUUCCCUCAAAGGGUCUGUUCAAACUUUCUAAACUUCACUGGAAGACCUGAUGAACUAUUUUACCUCCAGAGUGCAUGACUGGUAGGGAGGUAUAGGCAUGUGUAAACUGUUUUGGCUGAAAAUGGAUUUGAAAUAUUGUUUCAAAUAUCUAUAAAAAUGAAGCCCAGCACUUCAUGGUGACAGUGUUAAUAGAGAGGAAAAUUUGCAGCCUCUUUUAGACACUGCUCCUGUUUAAAUUUCCCUGUGAUGUUAAGGUGAGGAGCAUUGUGGCAUUGCUGUGAGGUCUCUGCUGUGCAGAGAGAAUCUCAGGUGAGACCAGUUGGUCUCACAAACUCACCUUUGACCAGAUCCCUGUGCAGCAGAUGCUCAGGUGACAUUCCAGAGCCAUUGAGGGCCUGCUGCUCAGGGAGCUUCCUCCAUCCUGCUGAGGCCAGGAGGAGAGCAGGGAAUUCACUGCUUGGCAUGAGCAGUCUUGGAAGAGGGGAGAGCUCAGCUGCCUUAAAAUUAAGCAAUCAAAAUUAAAAGGAAACAUGACUGACCUCAGCUGGAUGUUGGUGCAUUUUAAAUAUGGGAUGGUGCCUUUUUGCAACCUGCCCAAGAAGUUUGCUAAUGCCCCUGAUUUAUUAUAGAGGCUGAGAGAAACAGCUUUGCACAGCAGGAUAAGCAUGCUUUUGACUUGGUUCCAGGUAUGACAAUAGCUGAGAGCCAUCAAAAGUAGGAAGAAAAUAGCUGCCAACACUUCUGUCUGACUUGGAUGAUCCUGAUUUUCCUCUUGCUCUGUCAAACCCUGCUUGCUCAGUCCUUUCUGAUGGAAUCGAGGGCAGAACGUCCUUCUGAGAGCAGCUUUUGUUCCUAUCAGCAUUUAACUGUGCUUCCUUUGUAGGAUAUGAUCUGCAGAGCCCUCUCCUCUGCCUUCCUGUGCUUCUCCAAGAGGGAAUGCUGGGUGCUGAGCACAGACAGUGGGCUGGACCUCCAAGCUGCGCAGAAUGCCAGCAGCAAUAUUCAGAGAGAAUAUUCAAGAAAAAGGUUUGCCAUUGGAAGUUUCUCAAGAAAUUUUGUCUCCUGCUCUUGACUGUGGCAACUGGAAUUAACAGACCAAUCCUUUUCUUCCCUUCUCCCUGAAAAAGGCAGUGGGAGGCCAGGACACCACCUUUAUCUGAAGGCUUAUAUUGAAACUCUGAACCAGCAGUCCAUGAUUUUGAAGGAGAGGAUGAGGGCUUUUUCCCUUACCUGAGCAAUCUGCUCUUGAACUGGAGACCACAGCCUUUAAAAGCCUGGAGUGGUGAUGUCUGCCUUUCAGAAAUCCACGCAGAGUGGAGCCAGUGAUUCCUCACGAAGGGAAGAUAAAUGCAAAAGCUGAAGGGCCUUCGUUACCUGGCUAAUG